GAAUUUUCCGCAAUGGGCGCAAGCCUGAUGGAGCGACGCCGCGUGCAGGAUGAAGGUCCUCGGAUCGUAAACUGCUUUUACAUGGGACGAAAAUUUGGACGGUACCAUGUGAAUAAGCGUCGGCUAACUACGUGCCAGCAGCCGCGGUAAUACGUAGGACGCAAGCGUUAUCCGGAUUUAUUGGGUUUAAAGCGUGCGUAGGUUGCGAUAUAAGUCUAUGAUUAAAUAUCAAGGCUCAACCUUGGACAAGUUGUAGAUACUGUUUUGCUAGAGGGCAGACGGGGAAAGCGGAAUUCCCGGUGUAGGAGUGAAAUCCGUUGAUAUCGGGAGGAACACCAGUGGCGAAGGCGGCUUUCUAGACUGUUCCUAACACUAAGGCACGAAAGCUAGGGUAGCGAAAGGGAUUAGAUACCCCUGUAGUC
rnacentral:rRNA from 1 species